GCUUGUCUCAAAGAUUAAGCCAUGCAUGUCUAAGUAUAAAUGGUAUACAGUGAAACUGCGAAUGGCUCAUUAAAACAGUUAUAGUUUAUUUGGUAUUCGAAUUUACAUGGAUAACCGUGGUAAUUCUAGAGCUAAUACAUGCAUUACGCCUGACUUUUCGGAAGGGCAGUAUUUAUUAGAUUUCAAUCAACACUUUUUGCUGACUCAUGAUAACUUAGCGGAUCGCAGAGGCCUCGCGCCGGCGACAAAUCAUUCAAGUUUCUGCCCUAUCAGCUUUCGAUGGUAGUGUAUUGGACUACCAUGGCAUUCACGGGUAACGGAGGAUUAGGGUUCGAUUCCGGAGAGGGAGCCUGAGAAAUGGCUACCACAUCCAAGGAAGGCAGCAGG
rnacentral:rRNA from 1 species